GCCCCGGCGGUUGAAUUAGGAAGACGCCUGCACGAAAUACAGGAGAUCCGGGUUCAAAUCCCGGCUGGGGGA
rfam:Trachymyrmex cornetzi contig56359, whole genome shotgun sequence.